AAGUCGUAACAAGGUUUCCGUAGGUGAACCUGCGGAAGGAUCAUUACAGUGUUGGGCUUCGGCCUCAUUCACACCCCUUGUUGAACCUCUGGUUUCUUUGGCGAUGUCAUGGACUCGUCAAACUUUAACUCUGGGAAUGCGAUACUGUCCGAGUGUGAUUAAAUGAUUAAAACUUUCAACAACGGAUCUCUUGGUUCCA
rnacentral:misc_RNA from 1 species